rnacentral:rRNA from 1 species
GACGAACGCUGGCGGCGUGCUUAACACAUGCAAGUCGAGCGGUAAGGCCCCUUCGGGGGUACACGAGCGGCGAACGGGUGAGUAACACGUGAGCAAUCUGCCCUUCACUUCGGGAUAACCACCGGAAACGGUGGCUAAUACCGGAUACGACCAUCCCGGGCAUCCGGUGGUGGUGGAAAGUUCCGGCGGUGGAGGAUGAGCUCGCGGCCUAUCAGCUUGUUGGUGGGGUAAUGGCCUACCAAGGCGACGACGGGUAGCCGGCCUGAGAGGGUGACCGGCCACACUGGGACUGAGACACGGCCCAGACUCCUACGGGAGGCAGCAGUGGGGAAUAUUGGACAAUGGGCGAAAGCCUGAUCCAGCAACGCCGCGUGAGGGAUGACGGCCUUCGGGUUGUAAACCUCUUUCAGCAGGGACGAAGCGCAAGUGACGGUACCUGCAGAAGAAGGACCGGCCAACUACGUGCCAGCCGCCGCCGUAACAC